AAACCAACAGGGAUUGCCUCAGUAGCGGCGAGUGAAGCGGCAAUAGCUCAAAUUUGAAAUCUGGCACCUUUGGUGUCCGAGUUGUAAUUUGAAGAAGGUAUCUUUGGGUUUGGCGCUUGUCUAUGUUUCUUGGAACAGGACGUCAUAGAGGGUGAGAAUCCCGUGUGAUGAGCUGCCCAAAUCCGUGUAAAGUUCCUUCGACGAGUCGAGUUGUUUGGGAAUGCAGCUCUAAGUGGGUGGUAAAUUCCAUCUAAAGCUAAAUAUUGGCGAGAGACCGAUAGCGAACAAGUACUGUGAAGGAAAGAUGAAAAGAACUUUGAAAAGAGAGUGAAAAAGUACGUGAAAUUGUUGAAAGGGAAGGGCUUGAGGUCAGACUUGGUUUACCAGGCCAGCAUCAGUUUGGGUGGUAGGAGAAUGGCGAAGGAAUGUGGCUCGGCUUCGGUCAAGUGUUAUAGCCUUUGUUGAUACUGCCUACCUAGACUGAGGACUGCGUCUUUGACAAGGAUGCUGGCAUAAUGGCCUUAAGCCAC
rnacentral:rRNA from 1 species